AAUACAUGCAAGUCGAACGGCGUAGCAAUACGUCAGUGGCAGACGGGUGAGUAACGCGUGGAACGUACCCUCGUUCGGAAUAACUCAGGGAAACUUGAGCUAAUACCGGAUACGGCUCGAGAGGCGAAAGAUUUAUCGCCGAGGGAUYGGCCCGCGUCCGAUUAGCUAGUUGGUGAGGUAAUGGCUCACCAAGGCGACGAUCGGUAGCUGGUCUGAGAGGAUGAUCAGCCACAUUGGGACUGAGACACGGCCCAAACUCCUACGGGAGGCAGCAGUAGGGAAUAUUGGACAAUGGGCGAAAGCCUGAUCCAGCCAUGCCGCGUGAGUGAUGAAGGCCUUAGGGUUGUAAAGCUCUUUCGUCAGGGACGAUAAUGACGGUACCUGAAGAAGAAGCCCCGGCUAACUUCGUGCCAGCAGCCGCGGUAAUACGAAGGGGGCUAGCGUUGUUCGGAAUCACUGGGCGUAAAGCGCAUGUAGGCGGGUCUUUAAGUCAGGGGUGAAAUGCCAAGGCUCAACCUUGGAACUGCCUUUGAUACUGGAGACCUUGAGUCCGGGAGAGGUGAGUGGAACUGCGAGUGUAGAGGUGAAAUUCGUAGAUAUUCGCAAGAACACCAGUGGCGAAGGCGGCUCACUGGCCCGGUACUGACGCUGAUAUGCGAAAGCGUGGGGGAGCAAACAGGAUUAGAUACCCCUGGUAGUCCACGCCGUAAACGAUGGAUGCUAGCCGUUAGGCAGCUUGCUGCUUAGUGGCGC
rnacentral:rRNA from 1 species